AUUGAACGCUGGCGGGAUGCUUAACACAUGCAAGUCGAACGAGUGGCGGACGGGUGAGUAAUAUCUGGGAAGUGCCCGAUGGAGGGGGAUAACUACUGGAAACAGUGGCUAAUACCGCAUACUAUCGGAUAACCCAUAUGGGAUUAGCUAGUAGGUGGGGUAAUGGCUCACCUAGGCGACGAUCCCUAGCUGGUCUGAGAGGAUGAUCAGCCACACUGGGACUGAGACACGGCCCAGACUCCUACGGAGGCAGCAGUGGGGAAUAUUGCACAAUGGGCGCAAGCCUGAUGCAGCCAUGCCGCGUGUAUGAAGAAGGCCCUAGGGUUGUAAAGUACUUUCAGUCGGGAGGCGUUACCGACAGAAGAAGCACCGGCUAACUCCGUGCCAGCAGCCGCGGUAAUUC
rnacentral:rRNA from 1 species